rnacentral:snRNA from 1 species
AAAAAAAAAAGGUUCACCCAGGGUAAGGCUCAGCCAUUGCACUCCGGUUGUGCUGAGCCCUGCGAAUUCCCCAAAUGGGGGAAUCUCGACUGCAUAAUUUAUGGUAGUGGGGGACUGCGUUCACGCUCUCCCUNN